AACGAACGCUGGCGGCAUGCCUAACACAUGCCAGUCGAACGAGACCUUCGGGUCUAGUGGCGCAUGGGUGCGUCACGCGUGGGAACCUGCCCUUAGGUUCGGAAUAACUCCCCGACAGGGGUGCUAAUACCGGAUAAUGUCUUCGGACCAAAGAUUUAUCGCCUUUGGAUGGGCCCGCGUUGGAUUAGCUAGUUGGUAGGGUAAAAGCCUACCAAGGCGACGAUCCAUAGCUGGUCUGAGAGGAUGAUCAGCCACACUGGGACUGAGACACGGCCCAGACUCCUACGGGAGGCAGCAGUGGGGAAUAUUGGACAAUGGGCGAGAGCCUGAUCCAGCAAUGCCGCGUGAGUGAUGAAGGCCUUAGGGUAGUAAAGCUCUUUUACCCGGGAUGAUAAUGACAGUACCGGGAGAAUAAGCUCCGGCUAACUCCGUG
rnacentral:rRNA from 1 species